rnacentral:lncRNA from 1 species
UUUGGAUUCUUUUUCCGUCCCCCGUGUGGACUCCUCCAUUUCCUCUGCUUUGCCAGUUGCUGUCCCCUAAUUCUUCUGACUUCCUUGGAUCCCUUUGUCGCUGACCUGCUUUCCUCCAGCUGCAAAGGCAGCUUGCUUUCCUCUAUAUUCUCCUCCCGAUGCUCUCCUUUUAUUUUCAUUUAGUUUCUAGCAGCCCCACAUAGCAGAAAAAAAUAAGUUCUUUGGAUCAUGUUACUCCUACAAACACAAUAUAUCAAAAGUAUCAUAAAUACUUAAAGCUUCCAAAUAAAUUAGACAAGAAAAGAAAUAUAAAAUGAUGAAAUAUAUAGUUUAAAUAUUGGUUUACCAUUUAGCGUCACAAUGGGUUAGCAAAAUUGUAAUUUAAAUUUGCUUUUCACGAAUAAAAUUUCACUUGUUCUAUUUUUAUUUUCUUUGCAUAACAAAUCCUAUAAACACAAAAAUAACGUAAAUAGCUCAAAAAUAUAAGGAACUAACCAAGAAAAGACGAGUGAAUUUAAAGUAAAAAUAUAUAUAAAUAUGAUCCGAUCAAAUACCCCCACACUUAACUUUUGCUAGUCCUCGAGCAAAACAAAGAAAACAAGAACAAGAAGUAAAAAGAAAAACAUUAGCUUCCCCCUAUGUGACCCUCAUAGAAUUUCAUUUAAGAAAACAAAUCAUCAAGAACCAUAGCUAGCACCAAACACGUUAAUCCAAGUUCAUCUUCCUAAUUCAAAUAUUAGCAGUAAUCUUUGAAUCAUCCUUGAAGUGUAGUGUGUGAGAU